AAUUUAAAAAUGUAGGAUGAAGGUGCACCUUAAAAAUUCGAGGAAAAUUUAGUUUUGAUAUUAGAAAAAUCUCUAAUUGAUUAUUUAGACGUUUAAGAGGUGUGAAUAGGAAGACACAAUAUUUUUUAGAGUCUUUGAAAUAGUGAAAGCAUUAUCUGGACUAUUUAUUUUAUUUUCAAGGUUAAUUCAUAUAUUUAUAGAUUUACUUGUUUAUAGAUCUUUUUGAUGAAACAUGUUUGGAG
rnacentral:lncRNA from 1 species